UGGGGAAUUUUGGACAAUGGGGGCAACCCUGAUCCAGCAAUGCCGCGUGAGUGAAGAAGGCUUUCGGGUUGUAAAGCUCUUUCGGUUGGGAAGAAGGAAUUUGUGCUAAUACCACAGAGACUUGACGGUACCAACAUAAGAAGCACCGGCUAACUACGUGCCAGCAGCCGCGGUAAUACGUAGGGUGCAAGCGUUAAUCGGAAUUACUGGGCGUAAAGGGUGCGCAGGCGGUUAGAUAAGUCAGAUGUGAAAGCCCCGGGCUUAACCUGGGAAUUGCGUUUGAAACUAUUUAACUAGAGUGCAGUAGAGGGAGGUGGAAUUCCAUGUGUAGCAGUGAAAUGCGUAGAUAUAUGGAGGAACAUCGAUGGCGAAGGCAGCCUCCUGGACUGACACUGACGCU
rnacentral:rRNA from 1 species